rnacentral:rRNA from 1 species
CCUACGGAAGGCAGCAGUGGGGAAUAUUGGACAAUGGGCGAAAGCCUGAUCCAGCAAUGCCGCGUGAGUGAUGAAGGCCUUCGGGUCGUAAAGCUCUUUUACCAGGGAUGAUAAUGACAGUACCUGGAGAAUAAGCUCCGGCUAACUCCGUGCCAGCAGCCGCGGUAAUACGGAGGGAGCUAGCGUUGUUCGGAAUUACUGGGCGUAAAGAGUACGUAGGCGGUUAUUCAAGUCAGAGGUGAAAGCCCGGGGCUCAACCCCGGAACUGCCUUUGAAACUAGAUAACUAGAGUCUUGGAGAGGUUAGUGGAAUUCCGAGUGUAGAGGUGAAAUUCGUAGAUAUUCGGAAGAACACCAGUGGCGAAGGCGACUAACUGGACAAGUACUGACGCUGAGGUACGAAAGCGUGGGGAGCAAACAGGAUUAGAUACCCUGGUAGUCCACGCCGUAAACGAUGAUAACUAGUUGUUCGGUCACUUGGUGACUGAGUGACGCAGCUAACGCAUUAAGUUAUCCGCCUGGGGAGUACGGUCGCAAGNUUAAAACUUAAAGGAAUUGACGGCUGAGAAGUGCGAGNGACACGAGGGAGAGG